UACGGAGGGUGCAAACGUUGUUCGGAUUCAUUGGGCGUAAAGGGUGCGUAGGUGGCGCGGCAAGUCAGGUGUGAAAUCUCGGGCUCAACCCCGAACUGCACUUGAUACUGCCUUGCUCGAGUACUGGAGAGGAUGAUUGGAAUUUACGGUGUAGCAAGUGAAAUGCGUAGAUAUCGAUAAGGAAGACCAGUGGACGAAGGCGAGUCUCGGACAGUUACCGACGCUGAGGCACGAAGGCCAGGGGAGCAAACGGG
rnacentral:rRNA from 1 species